rnacentral:rRNA from 1 species
CCUACGGGAGACAGCAGUGGGGAAUAUUGCGCAAUGGGCGAAAGCCUGACGCAGCGACGCCGCGUGAGGGAUGAAGGUCUUCGGAUCGUAAACCUCUGUCAGCAGGGAAGAACGGUCACUGGGCUAAACAGCAAUGAAUUAACGUUACCUGCAAAGGAAGCACCGGCUAACUCCGUGCCAGCAGCCGCGGUAAUACGGAGGGUGCGAGCGUUAAUCGGAAUUACUGGGCGUAAAGCGCUCGUAGGCGGUAUGUCAAGUCAAGGGUGAAAUCCCCGCGCUCAACGUGGGAACUGCAUUGGAAACUGGCAAACUGGAGUGUGUGAGAGGAUAGUGGAAUGCCAGGUGUAGGAGUGAAAGCCGGAGAGAUCUGGAGGAACAUCAGUGGCGAAGGCGACUAUCUGGCACAUAACUGACGCUGAGGAGCGAAAGCGUGGGUAGCAAACAGGAUUAGAUACCCCGGUAGUC